ensembl:lncRNA
CUUUUCUGUCCCAGAGAGCGGGAAAGAGCGAGCGAGAGAGAGAGAGAGAGAUUAUACUUACUAAUACGGAAGAGCGAAUAGGGGCAUCUGUUCCUGAUCAUGUACUGUGGAGAAAUUCAAAGGAAAAACCAAGGACCCCCGCUACCUCACCUGGAAUAGGGAAACCGGGGCCCUGCCCUGGACUGGCCUAGGGGGGAACUCAUCGGCGAGCUCCUGGUGGUCGGGACCUUAUCCACGGGACCCGAACGAGCUACAUGGGACCGUCGUGUUGUGGACCCACCACCUUCAGGAGGAGUAGUGAGGGUAAGUAGUAACACAGUGUUUGCGUGAAAAUUAAACGUAAUGUUCCUGUAGUAUGCUAGCACAUUAGCUAGUUAGAAACGGCGUGCGUAUGAGAAGCAUGUUAACCUUAUUAACCUCAUAACCUUGCCUGAUUUGAGAUAAAGACAAAGCUAAGUUUUUCAGGCUAGAGGGCUUGAUGAAGUGUAAAUGUUUACGUCAUCUCACAUAAG